UUUCAUCUAUCUGAAGUCAGACACUUGUUGAUCUGCUACUCUCAGGUUGUUUCAGCAUGGACGCUAAUUUCAGGGUUCUGUGGGAUAAAGAAAACAAAAUCAUUUUGCUUCCCUUUUUUCAGGGCUCUCGCCUAUUCUUCAGAAGCCGUUAAGGUGCCUUCCCUGUGAUUUAGAGAAUUGACCACAAGAGAAGACUCCCUUUCAAACUCUUCAUUCUCUGGUUCAGAGGUUUGAUGUAAUGGUUGUCUCAUCGUACAUGGUCAGCCACAGGAUAUACUUCAUCCAUUUCAGAGCUGUACUCCUGAGUUCCAUGCUAUAAUCAGAAAUAUGUGGCACAUUUUGAACAAAGGAAAUAUAUACCCAACAAAGUGUUAAAAUGGAGCUGCCAACCAGACAAACCCUAGAAAUAUGUAGCCACUUACAGGCAGAACACAACUACAUGUGUUCCCAAUGUGGAAGGCAUUCCGGAAGUGUAUGCAUCCACAUUUCUACAUGAGGCAUCGCCUAUGCAGGCAAUCAAAGGAUGUUGAUGGAUAAGUGUUUCAGGCAGAAUAAUGGCCCUCAAAGAUGUUGACACCAGAAUCUUCAGAACCUUUGCAUAUGUUACCUAACAUGACAAAAGGGACUUUGCUGAUGUGAUUAAGGUUAAGAACUUUGAGAAGGGAAGAUUAUCCUGGAUUAUACAGGUCGACGUUUAUUUCUUUCUGAACUUUCCUGGAGGAUCAUCGGCCAUACUCCAGCAGAAGGGUGGAUUUGAAAAAAUAACGUUUCCACGGCAACAGUGGCAGCAAUUCAGAGAUACUCCCAAAGUCCCAUCCAGUUAUAUC
rnacentral:lncRNA from 10 species